GCUCUCUCAAACUCGUCGUGCCGAAGGUGCUGCUCCCAUUGACACUCAGCCACCGAAACUCAGUUCUGCUUCCAUUGACAGUCAGGCACUCAAAGUCAGUACUGCUCCCAUUGAACCACCGUGCGCCUAAGCAUUGGAGCUCCAACUAAGAGGCCAUCUCCCUUCCUUAUUGCUCCUUUUAAAGAAGUGGGGUGGCUUCAGCAGUUUCCUUGGCCAAUUGAGGCCUUGAUGCCAUGCUUAUGAUCACCUGCGUGGACUUUUUUUUUUUUUUUUUUUUUUUUUUUUUUUUUUUUUUUUUUUUU